UCAUGUCCUUCAUCUAGUGAGCCUUCUUUCCUCAGCAACUACCUUCUGAUUAUGGGAAAGGUUUCAUGUGGAAGCUUCACAAGAGAAGCAGAGCAAGGUCUUAUGUGCUGACGUAGGCCUGCUCAUAAGCAACCAGCCCUGCUGGCCUUGAAAAAUGGAUUUUUUUUCAUCGUCUUCAAAGUGGUCCGAAACAACGUUCCUUCAUACCUUAUAAGAAAGUAUGAAGACAUGUAACGGGACCCCUUCUCCCCUUGUUUUUCCAUUUGUAGAACAGACCGGACUCAGAGUACAUACAUGACCUGAUCCCAAGUCUCCUAAAAAAAUGCUCAUGUUGGGUCUGAAGAGAGAGAAGGUGAAGCAACAAAAUUCACAACCGUCCUUCUAGAUUCUGCUGUGCCGACCUGCUCACAGGAUUCACUUUGUAGAUCUGCGUUUUCCAGGAGGCAAAGAAAAACAAAGCCAACAAAACCAGUAUCGUUUACCAAUUACUUGGGACUGGUCCUAACUCUCUUUCUCUUGCAGAGACCCAUCUAAACUAGCACUACUCAAACGGUAUUUGAACAACAGUGCUGCUUGCCUCUGGACCGACAGUCACCCACAGCAAUGAGUUAAGUACAGAAAUUGAGAACACGCAUUUAGAAACUGUUUAUGGCAAUUCAACAGGUAAUUUUUGCCUGUUAAAUCUAAUAUUAAAUAUUUGAGGCUUG